AUAGAGUACUUCAUAAGAAAAAGUUAUUGUCAUUUCGCACUAGGAGUCCUCGAGAAGUUUUCAAUUAGCUUGAAACUUCGACCUUGGUCAUUUUAUCUGGCAGGGUUGCAGAAACUUAAAACCAUAUUGCCUUGGGUAUCUGUCCGAAAAGCUAGCUUGAGCUUUAGCUUUAGAUUAAUUGGCUUCUUCUUCACAGGGAUUUCCUUUUUUUGUUUCUUUUGGUUGUUGUUGUUGGAAAAAUUCUUCUGAGGGAAUUAAUUAAGAGAGAAAAGAUGUUUUUAGGUUAGUUUAGUUGUGUGCCUUUCUACUUUCAAAUUAAUUUUGGGGUAUUCUUUUUUAAUAAUUAUGGUUGUGGAUGUCGGAGGAGCUGCUCUUGGAGCAGCAAUGGGAUUUCUGCUUACUGCUUUGGAAGAAGUCACCGAAAAGAAUGUAAUGUUCAAGCCCUCCCUCAAAAGCCUAACGGCAACGUUAGAAAUUUUGGAAGUCCUGAUUGAUGAUGUGGAAAAGUUGGACAAAAAACUGGAAAAUUGGGGCGAAGUACCGACUCAAAGACAGGAAGAAUCAGCAUAUUAUGAGUCACAGAUAAAGGAAGGGGAGAAGCACGUUCGCAAGUGCUCCGAGGUUUGUCGCUGUAACAUUUUCAAGAAGUCUUAUUACACGGACAAGCUGCUGGAAUUGGAUCGGACUCUGAAGUUGUUGAUACUAGCCGGAUUCUUAGCGAGGUAUUCAAAGGAAAUUUUGAUCUUGGAGCACGAGAUACUCGACUCGCAGAAAGCAAUUUCGGAUUCCUUAACAAAUGUUUUAAAUGAUAUUUCGAACAAGAUGGGGGAAAUAUCCGCAAAGAUCAAGGGAGAACGAGACACCAAUAGUGUAGAACCUGGAGAUCAGGUUAUAUCAAUGCUUUCAAGUCAUACUCCACAUCCACCCCUGAAUAUUGAGCAAGAGAUAAAGCCUGUGCUGCGUGCACCUCCAACUAAACCUUCACCUCCACCUCUAACUAAACCUUCAUCUCCACCUCCACCUCCAUUCACACGGAAUUACGACACCGAAAGUCACCAUCACAAAUUCCAAGUGGAAAGUGCUGGAGGGGCAACUGUGACAAUGAAACCCGUUAUAGAUAAGGUAAUAUUCACGCUAGGAGAAAGUGCUGGAGGGACAACUGUUGUUACAAUGAAACCCCAUAUAGAUAAGGUAAUAGCCACGCUAGGAGUUCUGGAGCCACUGAUCUCACAGAUUGAGAAGUUUCACACGGAGCUGGCUCUGCCAAAUGGGCAAACAGUAACAGAUCUUAAGUCAGAAAUAGAGGAGGCAGAAAAGCUAAUUCAAAAGUGCUCCAAUGCUUCACGGUUUAACUUACUGAAAAAGAAACAUUACAAGGAUAAGUUGCUUGCAAUGGAUGAGACUCUAUUCAGGUGGGUUGAGAUACUACAGAUGCAGUUGGCAAGUGAUGUAAAGAGGAGCUUGGUUCUCGUAAGGGAAAUACAUGCCCAUAUCGUUGAACAUGGAGGCAUUGAUGAUGUGGUACUUAAUCAGAUUCUUUUGAGGGUUCCGUCCAUUAAUGUAAGCUCAAGUCCCACACGGUCCCCCCGGAGGGUAUAUGAGGGAAGAGCCUCCUAGCACAAAAGUUAUCUGGCUGAAUCAAAUACAAAAAGAAUACCAUUUUUCCGUGUCUAAUUGAGUUUCAGGGAAUUGCUAAGGUCAGGACCACACUGACCGUGUUUCAUCCGGAUCAAUGGCAAAUUUUGUAAUAAAAUAGAAAAUUAUGUUUAUUUUAGUGUAGCCGACUAGAUGUAGAAGAACGAAUGACAAGAAAAAAAGACAAGCAUCAUGAGGAGUUAAAAAAAAUAAAAUUUAUGGGGGCGGUACUAUGGGGAAGAGAAUAGAGAAAAGUAUACACCUGCCAAGCUGUUUAAUGAGAUUUGCAAAAAUUCAAGAUAGAAAAAAAAAAAAAAAAGGCUAACGCAGAGAAAGAAGGGUUUUUGGUGAGGGUAAGAAGCCUUUGCAUAUGAUGCAAUGAUGCAGAAGUUACAACUCGUUUGAUGUUGGGUUUUACUUUUAUGAAUGGUUCACUUGAAAUUGUGAAAUUUUUU